AUUAACGCUAGCGGCAGGCAUAAUACAUGCACGUUGAACGGCAGCACAGGUAGCAAUACUGGGUGGCGAGUGGCGCACGGGUGCGUAACACGUAUGCAACCUACCCUAUACAGGCGAAUAACCUUUAGAAAUGAGGGCUAAUACGCCGUAGUAUUACAGAUGGGCAUCUAUUUGUAAUUAAAGAUUUAUCGGUAUAGGAUGGGCAUGCGUCCCAUUAGUUAGUUGGUAAGGUAACGGCUUACCAAGACGAUGAUGGGUAGGGGAUCUGAGAGGACUUACCCCCACACUGGUACUGAGACACGGACCAGACUCCUACGGGAGGCAGCAGUAAGGAAUAUUGGGCAAUGGCCGCGAGGCUGACCCAGCCAUGCCGCGUGCAGGAAGACGGCCUUAUGGGUUGUAAACUGCUUUUAUACGGGAAUAAUAGAGUGUACGCGUACAUUUAUGCAAGUAUCGUAUGAAUAAGCAUCGGCUAACUCCGUG
rnacentral:rRNA from 1 species